rnacentral:rRNA from 1 species
UGAAUACGAGAUGCUACGGCGUCGAAGCAGUGUAUGUCAGACUUCCAAGAAAAGCUCGCAAUGUCAUAAAUAAAGAAUGCCUGUACCAUAACCGACACAGGUGGGUAGGUAGAGUAUACUAAGGGGCGCGAGAUAACUCUCUCUAAGGAACUCGGCAAAAUAACUCCGUAACUUCGGGAGAAGGAGUGCCUUCUAUUAGAAGGUUGCAAUAACAAGAUCCAAGCAACUGUUUAUCAAAAACACAGGUCUCCGCUAAGUCGUAAGACGAUGUAUGGGGGCUGACGCCUGCCCAGUGCCAGAAGGUUAAAGAAGUUGGUUAGCUUUGGCGAAGCUGAUGACUGAAGCCCUGGUGAACGGCGGCCGUAACGAUAACGGUCCUAAGGUAGCGAAAUUCCUUGUCGGGUAAGUUCCGACCGCACGAAAGGCGUAAUGAUUUGGAUACUGUCUCGGAGAGGGACUCGGUGAAAUAGACUUGUCUGUGAAGAUGCGGACUACCUGCACCAGGACAGAAAGACCCUAUGAAGCUUUACUGUAACUUGAAAUUGAAAUUGGACUUUAUUUGCGCAGCAUAGGUGGAAGGCGUUGAGAUUACUCUUGCGGGAGUACUGGAGCCAUCAGUGAGAUACCACUCCUAUAAUGUUAGAUUUCUAACUUUGGAUCAUGAUCUGGUCAAAGAACAGUUUCAGGCGGGCAGUUUGACUGGGGCGGUCGCCUCCCAAAUGGUAACGGAGGCGUACAAAGGUUUCCUCUGAACGGGUAGAAAUCGUAUCUAGAGUGUAAAGGCAUAAGGAAGCUUGACUGUGAGACCUACAAGUCGAGCAGGGACGAAAGUCGGUCUUAGUGAUCUGACGGUGCUGAGUGGAAAGGCCGUCACUCAACGGAUAAAAGUUACUCUAGGAUAACAGGCUGAUCUCCCCCAAGAGUUCACAUCGACGGGGAGGUUUGGCACCUCGAUGUCGGCUCAUCGCAUCCUGGGGCGGUAGUACGUCCCAAGGGUUGGGCUGUUCGCCCAUGAAAGCGGUACGCGAGCUGGGUUCAGAACGUCGUGAGACAGUUCGGUCCAUAUCCGGUGUAGGCGUUAGAAUAUUGAGAGGAGCCUUCUUUAGUACGAGAGGACCGAGAAGGACAUACCUCUGGUGUACCAGUUAUCGUGCCAACGGUAAACGCUGGGUAGCUAUGUAUGGAGAGGAUAACCGCUGAAAGCAUCUAAGUGGGAAGCCCACCUCAAGAUGAGUAUUCUCA